rnacentral:rRNA from 1 species
UUGCCUCAGUACGGCGAGUGAGCGGCAAAGCUCAAAUUUGAAAUCUAGUACCUUCGGUGCUCGAGUUGUAAUUUGAAGGUAGUUUUCUGGUGCUGGCCCUUGUCUAUGUUCCUUGGAACAGGACGUCAUAGAGGGUGAGAAUCCCGUCUGAUGGGGUGUCCAGUGCUUUGUAGAUUUCUACCGAAGAGUCGAGUUGUUUGGGAAUGCAGCUCUAAGUGGGUGGUAAAUUCCAUCUAAAGCUAAAUACUGGCGAGAGACCGAUAGCGAACAAGUACAGUGAUGGAAAGAUGAAAAGAACUUUGAAAAGAGAGUGAAAAAGUACGUGAAAUUGUUGAAAGGGAAGGGUAUUGGAUCAGACUUGGUGUCUUGUGAUUAUCUUCCCU